rfam:Chlorocebus sabaeus isolate 1994-021 chromosome 22, whole genome shotgun sequence.
GCCGGGCGCGGUGGCUCAAGCCUGUAAUCCCAGCACUUUGGGAGGCCGAGAUGGGCGGAUCACGAGGUCAGGAGAUCGAGACCAUCCUGGCUAACACGGUGAAACCCCAUCUCUACUAAAAAUACAAAAAAAAACUAGCCGGGCGAGGUGGCGNNNNNNNNNNCGCCACCUCGCCCGGCUAGUUUUUUUUUGUAUUUUUAGUGGAGAUGGGGUUCCACCAUGUUAGCUAGGAUGAUCUCGAUCUCCUGACCUCGUGAACCGCCCACCUU